rnacentral:lncRNA from 1 species
GCUGUCGGGUUUCCGGGAGAGGGCGCUGUCCUUGCUCAGUGAUGGCCGGAGAGCUGCACCCUGCACGUCUGGGCUUGAAGACAGAAAUCCACCGUGAGGUGCUCCAAGGAACACUGAUGGGCAGUUUUGUUAAAGUGAUUGAACUCCGUGGGUACAGGAGUACGUGGAGUAAUGAAGGAUAAUGCCCUGUAACCGCUUCCUCUUAGGAAUGCUAGCUUUCACAAUUGUGCAAACGCAUAAGGAAUAAAACUGUUCUUUUGAAAUGAAGAAGAGAACCACCUAGGAGACUAUCACCCUGACCUGAGGACUUCACUAGGGAUUCAGGAAAGAAGACACAGAAAGAAAGCAAUCCUCAAGGAUCAGAAUGGCCAGCAGGAGGCCAUAUGCACCUAAACCAGAUGGAAGAAAAUGGCCCGGGGUGACCAGCUGGCUCUCUUUAUCAAGCUCAGACUCCUCAAGUCCCCGCUUGGAAGAACAGUCACAGAUUCCAUAUACAGCUGCACUAGGGAGGUGAAGCAGGAAUUCACUGAGCCCCAAGGAAUGGGAAACUGCUUCUUUUAGUUCUCCCAGAACUCUCCACAUUGAUCCCACUCUGGCUACCAGCACUAGCUGGACAGUAAUGACUCUCAGAGGUGAACACAAUAUGCCUCAACAUGCCUUUCUGGAAGUUCACAUAGGAACUGCACAGCACCUGAAUUCCAGUUCUGCAAAGCUCUUCUCUGAAUACUGGAGGUACCAGCAUGAUCCUGGCACUGCCCCUGCCUCCGCUGUCUGUCUAAUUGUAGCUCUCUGGGGCCACUCUUGUGAGUUUCUAAGUUCUGAGGACCUUAAUCUUUUCCACUGUUUCCCAGCCCUAGACAGGUAGCUGCUACCUGAUGUUGUCAUCCCGUGUUAGCUCAGUGUUCAUUUUUACCAU